UCCCUGUGUCAUAGCCUUGGAUCGAUACACCGUGAGGCUCAUUGAAAGUGACCCAGUGCUUCACUCUAUCUCCAAAUGCUUUAAAACAGUUUGAAGAAGAAGAAGAAGACUGUCACCUGGUAAGCUGAAGAAGCUGUCCCGAACACAAACCCAUCUGGAAAAUUUGCUCUGCUGAUAGAUGCUGAUGUAACAUGAUCUAUAGGCACGAAGAAGAAGAUCAAGAACGGAAACAGAACCAGGACUGGUCUCAUUAAAGAUUCCAUUUUUGGGUCGCAUGAAUAAAAGAGAAAGAGACAGAGAGAGAGAGAAGGAAGAUAAAGGGAUGAAUAUGUGUAAAUGAAAGAUUUGGAGGCAAGAAAAUGGAGUUUUUGUGUGUCUGUUUUUAAUUUGUAAAGUUGAAGAAGAAAGGGGAAGAGUGCAAAACAAAAGCUCUUGUCUUUUGAAGGCUCUUCUUUGCUGUUGACAUUUGUUCACUCUAACUUUUACUGUACACGUUUCUUAUACUUGUGCCAAAAACUUGAAAAAAAAGUGUACUUUUAAGAUUAAAAAAAAAAAGUUUGUUAGUGAGACA